AUUGAACGCUGGCGGCAUGCCUUACACAUGCAAGUCGAACGGCAGCGCGGGAGCAAUCCUGGCGGCGAGUGGCGAACGGGUGAGUAAUACAUCGGAACGUGCCCAAUCGUGGGGGAUAACGCAGCGAAAGCUGUGCUAAUACCGCAUACGAUCUACGGAUGAAAGCAGGGGAUCGCAAGACCUUGCGCGAAUGGAGCGGCCGAUGGCAGAUUAGGUAGUUGGCGAGGUAAAGGCUCACCAAGCCUUCGAUCUGUAGCUGGUCUGAGAGGACGACCAGCCACACUGGGACUGAGACACGGCCCAGACUCCUACGGGAGGCAGCAGUGGGGAAUUUUGGACAAUGGGCGAAAGCCUGAUCCAGCCAUGCCGCGUGCAGGAUGAAGGCCUUCGGGUUGUAAACUGCUUUUGUACGGAACGAAACGGUCUUUUCUAAUAAAGAAGGCUAAUGACGGUACCGUAAGAAUAAGCACCGGCUAACUACGUG
rnacentral:rRNA from 1 species